CCUAAACCAACAUAUUUGUUGGAUGCAUUUAGUGCACACAAUUAAACCAGCGAUCAGCCAAAUGCUGGUGAAAUAUGCAAGUGACAUUUCCUUCACUUACCAGCCAAAAACACAGUCAUCUAUUCAAUGCCUUGUACAAUGUGAACAUCCACUUGCCGUAUGUGUGUGUAACAUUUACAGUGAUUGAUGCACAGUAAUGAUAUUCUCUCAAUCAUAUCAAUAACCUGUUUAUUUACCGUGUGCUCUUAUUAAGGACCAAGACAGUGAAAUCAAUUAGGGACAAAUCUCUUUUCAGCAAGUCCAGACUUUCACUCUCUCAGUGGAUGCAGUUCAUUUAUAGGGCCUUCGUCUCAGACAGGUUGAUAUGGUGGAGGACGAUAUUGCUGCAACCCUCUCCAAGAUGGGCACAAAACUAAGGAAGGUCUGCAGACGGGCUGUUGAGAGGACGAGACGACAAAAAGGACAAAAAGGACGGCUCAUCGGUGGACGGCGGCAAUUUGUUGUAAUUGAUGAGUCAUUUCCGCCAUAAGAGAAAGUAUGGGAGAGGAAGAAUGGGUGGCAUGGAGAAGACGGAAAUGGGUCUUCGGCGUGCUUGGUGUGCAGCAGCAGAGGAGCAAGAGAGCGAAGCCGGUGCUGCGCCUUGUAGAAAGAAGAGGACCUUGUGCCACUGAAUGCACAUCAUGUCAGGAUAGGAUCAAACAUCAUUAGUGAUGAAUGGCGUGCUUAUCGUUCCCUGCAUGCACUUGGCUACAAUCAUAUGACUGAAUCAUGCAAGGUGGCAUGUAGAUGCCCAAACAGGUGCCCAC
ensembl:lncRNA